UUAAGCGACUAAGCGUACACGGUGGAUGCCCUGGCAGUCAGAGGCGAUGAAGGACGUGCUAAUCUGCGAUAAGCGUCGGUAAGGUGAUAUGAACCGUUAUAACCGGCGAUUUCCGAAUGGGGAAACCCAGUGUGUUUCGACACACUAUCAUUAACUGAAUCCAUAGGUUAAUGAGGCGAACCGGGGGAACUGAAACAUCUAAGUACCCCGAGGAAAAGAAAUCAACCGAGAUUCCCCCAGUAGCGGCGAGCGAACGGGGAGCAGCCCAGAGCCUGAAUCAGUGUGUGUGUUAGUGGAAGCGUCUGGAAAGGCGCGCGAUACAGGGUGACAGCCCCGUACACAAAAAUGCACAUACUGUGAGCUCGAUGAGUAGGGCGGGACACGUGGUAUCCUGUCUGAAUAUGGGGGGACCAUCCUCCAAGGCUAAAUACUCCUGACUGACCGAUAGUGAACCAGUACCGUGAGGGAAAGGCGAAAAGAACCCCGGCGAGGGGAGUGAAAAAGAACCUGAAACCGUGUACGUACAAGCAGUGGGAGCCUCUUUUAUGGGGUGACUGCGUACCUUUUGUAUAAUGGGUCAGCGACUUAUAUUCUGUAGCAAGGUUAACCGAAUAGGGGAGCCGAAGGGAAACCGAGUCUUAACUGGGCGUUAAGUUGCAGGGUAUAGACCCGAAACCCGGUGAUCUAGCCAUGGGCAGGUUGAAGGUUGGGUAACACUAACUGGAGGACCGAACCGACUAAUGUUGAAAAAUUAGCGGAUGACUUGUGGCUGGGGGUGAAAGGCCAAUCAAACCGGGAGAUAGCUGGUUCUCCCCGAAAGCUAUUUAGGUAGCGCCUCGUGAAUUCAUCUCCGGGGGUAGAGCACUGUUUCGGCAAGGGGGUCAUCCCGACUUACCAACCCGAUGCAAACUGCGAAUACCGGAGAAUGUUAUCACGGGAGACACACGGCGGGUGCUAACGUCCGUCGUGAAGAGGGAAACAACCCAGACCGCCAGCUAAGGUCCCAAAGUCAUGGUUAAGUGGGAAACGAUGUGGGAAGGCCCAGACAGCCAGGAUGUUGGCUUAGAAGCAGCCAUCAUUUAAAGAAAGCGUAAUAGCUCACUGGUCGAGUCGGCCUGCGCGGAAGAUGUAACGGGGCUAAACCAUGCACCGAAGCUGCGGCAGCGACACUAUGUGUUGUUGGGUAGGGGAGCGUUCUGUAAGCCUGUGAAGGUGUGCUGUGAGGUAUGCUGGAGGUAUCAGAAGUGCGAAUGCUGACAUAAGUAACGAUAAAGCGGGUGAAAAGCCCGCUCGCCGGAAGACCAAGGGUUCCUGUCCAACGUUAAUCGGGGCAGGGUGAGUCGACCCCUAAGGCGAGGCCGAAAGGCGUAGUCGAUGGGAAACAGGUUAAUAUUCCUGUACUUGGUGUUACUGCGAAGGGGGGACGGAGAAGGCUAUGUUGGCCGGGCGACGGUUGUCCCGGUUUAAGCGUGUAGGCUGGUUUUCCAGGCAAAUCCGGAAAAUCAAGGCUGAGGCGUGAUGACGAGGCACUACGGUGCUGAAGCAACAAAUGCCCUGCUUCCAGGAAAAGCCUCUAAGCAUCAGGUAACAUCAAAUCGUACCCCAAACCGACACAGGUGGUCAGGUAGAGAAUACCAAGGCGCUUGAGAGAACUCGGGUGAAGGAACUAGGCAAAAUGGUGCCGUAACUUCGGGAGAAGGCACGCUGAUAUGUAGGUGAAGUCCCUUGCGGAUGGAGCUGAAAUCAGUCGAAGAUACCAGCUGGCUGCAACUGUUUAUUAAAAACACAGCACUGUGCAAACACGAAAGUGGACGUAUACGGUGUGACGCCUGCCCGGUGCCGGAAGGUUAAUUGAUGGGGUCAGCGCAAGCGAAGCUCUUGAUCGAAGCCCCGGUAAACGGCGGCCGUAACUAUAACGGUCCUAAGGUAGCGAAAUUCCUUGUCGGGUAAGUUCCGACCUGCACGAAUGGCGUAAUGAUGGCCAGGCUGUCUCCACCCGAGACUCAGUGAAAUUGAACUCGCUGUGAAGAUGCAGUGUACCCGCGGCAAGACGGAAAGACCCCGUGAACCUUUACUAUAGCUUGACACUGAACAUUGAGCCUUGAUGUGUAGGAUAGGUGGGAGGCUUAGAAGUGUGGACGCCAGUCUGCAUGGAGCCGACCUUGAAAUACCACCCUUUAAUGUUUGAUGUUCUAACGUUGACCCGUGAUCCGGGUUGCGGACAGUGUCUGGUGGGUAGUUUGACUGGGGCGGUCUCCUCCUAAAGAGUAACGGAGGAGCACGAAGGUUGGCUAAUCCUGGUCGGACAUCAGGAGGUUAGUGCAAUGGCAUAAGCCAGCUUGACUGCGAGCGUGACGGCGCGAGCAGGUGCGAAAGCAGGUCAUAGUGAUCCGGUGGUUCUGAAUGGAAGGGCCAUCGCUCAACGGAUAAAAGGUACUCCGGGGAUAACAGGCUGAUACCGCCCAAGAGUUCAUAUCGACGGCGGUGUUUGGCACCUCGAUGUCGGCUCAUCACAUCCUGGGGCUGAAGUAGGUCCCAAGGGUAUGGCUGUUCGCCAUUUAAAGUGGUACGCGAGCUGGGUUUAGAACGUCGUGAGACAGUUCGGUCCCUAUCUGCCGUGGGCGCUGGAGAACUGAGGGGGGCUGCUCCUAGUACGAGAGGACCGGAGUGGACGCAUCACUGGUGUUCGGGUUGUCAUGCCAAUGGCACUGCCCGGUAGCUAAAUGCGGAAGAGAUAAGUGCUGAAAGCAUCUAAGCACGAAACUUGCCCCGAGAUGAGUUCUCCCUGACUCCUUGAGAGUCCUGAAGGAACGUUGAAGACGACGACGUUGAUAGGCCGGGUGUGUAAGCGCAGCGAUGCGUUGAGCUAACCGGUACUAAUGAACCGUGAGGCUUAACCUU
rnacentral:rRNA from 1 species